GAUAUUCAGAUAGUAUUAUUAUUUAUUUUUUAUUUGGUUUUUAUUUAUUAGAAAUUAUUUAAGUUUUUAUUUUUUAGAAUAAAUUUUAUUAGUUAUAGUUAAUUUUUACUGUGARGGAUUAAAUAAUGUGAUUUAAAAAGAAAAUUUAAUUUAUUGUACCUUGUGUAUCAGGGUUAAUUAAAUUUUUUAUUUAUUUUUAAAUAUUCUCGAAUUAAAAAGAGCUAUAAUUUUAUUUUUUUUAUUGUAAAAUAACUAUUAAUAAUAAAAUUAUUGAAGUGAAACGUUAUUCGAUUUUUAAUAUAUCUAGUUUCUUAAGAAAUAAAUUUAAUUUAGUUUUUUUUAUUAAUUUUAAUUUUUUAUUAUUAAUUAAUAUUAAAAAAUAAUAGUAUGAGGGUUGAGCUUUAUAUUUAAAUUAUAAAAUAUGGGUAUAUUUAUUAAAAUAUUGGUAUUAAAAGUUUUUAUUUAGUGAGUUAUUUCUAGUUUAUUUAUUUUAUUUUAUUUUUAUUAUUUAUUUAUAUAUUUUAUUAAGAUUAUUAUUAAAAUAUAUAAAAGUUUUGUAAUUAUGAUUAAAUUAGUAAAUUAUUUAUUUAUUUAUAAAUUAUUAAGUUUAAUUUUGAAAGUCAAAUUAUAAAGGAAUUUGGCAAAUUAAUUUUUUACCUGUUUAUUAAAAACAUGGCCUUUUGAGUUUAUUUAAGGUCUAGUCUGCCCAAUGAUUAAUAAAUUUAAUGGCCGCAGUAUUUUAACUGUGCAAAGGUAGCAUAAUCAUUAGUUUUUUAAUUGAAAGCUAGUAUGAAGGGCUGGAUAAAAAAAUAGCUGUCUCUAUUUUGAUUAUAUUGAAUUUUAUUAUUUAGUGAAAAGGCUAAAAUGGUUAAUGAAGACGAGAAGACCCUAUAGAGUUUUAUAAUUAUUAUUUUAAAAUUUAUUAGAAUUAUUUAUUUUAUGAUUUAAAUUAUUUAAUUGGGGUGAUUUAAAAAUUUAUUGAACUUUUUAUUAAAUCAUACAUUUAUUUAUGAGUAUGUGAUCCUUUUUAUUGAUUAAAAGAGUAAAUUACCUUAGGGAUAACAGCGUUAUUUUUUUUUAGAGUUCUAAUCGAAAAAGAAGAUUGCGACCUCGAUGUUGGAUUAAAAUUAAUUUUUGGUGUAGAAGCUAAUAGUUUAAGUCUGUUCGACUUUUAAAAUUUUACAUGAUCUGAGUUUAAACCGGUGUAAACCAGGUUGGUUUCUAUCUCUUUAAAAUUUUUAUAAUUUAGUACGAAAGGACCAAUUAUAGGAUAAAAUAUUUAUAUUUGAAUAUUAUUAAAUUAUAUUAUUUUGGCAGAAUAGUGCGAUUGAUUUAGGUUCAUUUUAUAUAAGAUUUC
rnacentral:rRNA from 1 species